rnacentral:lncRNA from 1 species
UAGAGUACAAGGAUCGAAAUGAACAUUUUGUCAACAAAUGGUUGGUGCAAUUAUAAUGGUGUUUUGUAGUGGGACUUCUUCAUGAGAAAACCAUCACAACCAUUGAAAUGCAAGCAAGGAAUAACCAAAAUGAACAUUUUAUCAGCAUUUGCUUCUGUGAUCAACCCCUCCAAACCCUGCCUUUGUCAAUGUUUGAAAAAGUGUUAAUGACCAAACUGCAAAAAUGUGCAAAGUGCAAUGACCAAAAUGAACAUUUUAUCGUCUAUGUUUAAACAAUUAAACAUACCGUGUCAGGUUGGAUUCAUCCCAAUUUCAUACUGAAACCCACUACCACAAUUUCUUCUAUUUGAUGAUAUUACUCAAUAUUCGUAAUUUAACAGAAGAACUACUUCAUAGAAUUCUAUCAUUUUUUUUCUAGUUCACCAUCUGUUUGAUGAUAUUACUCAAUAUUCAUUGCAAAACUUUAAAACCCCUUUUUCAGAAUCAGUCCUAAUUGGUUGCAUCUCGUCGUGUGGAGCUGUACAAGCGUCUAGUUGCUAAGUUUAGGGAGAUUUUGUUGUCACCCGAUUUGCCCAAGUAUGCUGGAUACAACUUCUGAGACUAUCAGCCAAGAGUGGAAGGAGAUGGUCUCUUUUUAUGGUGGGAUGGGAUUGUAGGUUGGCUGGUUACAGGAGCGUGUUUGUCUUUAUGAUGACUGGUUAGUUAAACGUUCGUCUGUCAAUGCAUUGGAAACUUGUCAAACGGUAUGUCUUGGAAGCCAAACGCAAGGUGGUUAGCAUUUUAGAGAGUGAGCUGCAGGUGCUCUGUGCUGAGUUGGAUAUGGAGUGUGACACUCAGUCUAGGUUUACUUUCUCUCUCUUUGAUUACUAUUUACUUAUUUAGUAGUGAUAGUUAUCGAAAGAAAAAGCCAUUCUAUUACACUUUUUUUGGUUAAUGAAAAUGCAUGAUCUUUUGUUUGUGACCAUCUAUCAGUUGAACUAUUGUAUAUAUGCUUUCAACAAUCUACCAGUUACUACUACAUGUCAUAUUCAUUUCAAAUGCUUGAUUUUAUGCGACGAAGCUGAUUUGCAAUUUCUAAUCUUUUAAGCCUUAAGGUUUGUGUGGGUUUUAGCUUUUAGGUGACUUAGUUGCAA